AAUUUCAACUGAAAAAGUCAUCAACAAUAAAGUUGUAUAACAUCAUCAAUAUAUAUAAAUUUUAUUUUAGCCAUUUCUUCAUCCGAUAAAGUGAUAGUAUCAUUGUUCACAAAAUUUACAUAUAUCUCCUAUAGUUUAUAAACUAUAUAAGAGAUAUAUACAUUUUAUAAAAAAUCUUAUAAAUCACUUUAUCGGAUGAAGAAAUGACCCAAAUAAAAGUUAUAGAUAUUGAUGAGUUAUACCACUUUGUUAUUGAUGACUUUUUCAGUUAAAAUC
rnacentral:pre_miRNA from 1 species